UACAGAGGAGCCAAGCGUUGUCCGGAUUGACUGGGCGUAAAGCGCACGCAGGCGGACGCGCGCGUGGGGUGUGAAAUCUGGCCGCUUAACGGCCAGGCGCCAUCCCAUACGGCGCGUCUGGAGUGAUGCAGAGGUCGGUGGAAUUGCCGGUGUAGUGGUGAAAUGCGUAGAGAUCGGGAGGAACACCAGUGGCGAAGGCGGCUCUUUGGUCUGUAACUGACGCUGAGGCGCGAAAGCGUGGGGAGCGAACAGG
rnacentral:rRNA from 1 species